GGGACCGUAGGGUAGUUUGGUAAUCCUUGUGGCUUUGGGACAACCCAUCCUUUUGCAAAAAAGCCAUAGACUCGAGUUCGAAUCUCGACGGUCCCA
rnacentral:tRNA from 1 species